rnacentral:piRNA from 1 species
UGGGAACACGUUUCAUGAUUCCUUGCCUUA